rnacentral:rRNA from 1 species
UGGGGAAUAUUGCACAAUGGGCGCAAGCCUGAUGCAGCCAUGCCGCGUGUAUGAAGAAGGCCUUCGGGUUGUAAAGUACUUUCAGCGGGGAGGAAGGCGAUAAGGUUAAUAACCUUGUCGAUUGACGUUACCCGCAGAAGAAGCACCGGCUAACUCCGUGCCAGCAGCCGCGGUAAUACGGAGGGUGCAAGCGUUAAUCGGAAUUACUGGGCGUAAAGCGCACGCAGGCGGUCUGUCAAGUCGGAUGUGAAACCCCCGGGCUCAACCUGGGAACUGCAUUCGAAACUGGCAGGCUAGAGUCUUGUAGAGGGGGGUAGAAUUCCAGGUGUAGCGGUGAAAUGCGUAGAGAUCUGGAGGAAUACCGGUGGCGAAGGCGGCCCCCUGGACAAAGACUGACGCUCAGGUGCGAAAGCGUGGGGAGCAAACA